rnacentral:rRNA from 1 species
AUUGAACGCUGGCGGCAUGCCUUACACAUGCAAGUCGAACGGAGUGGCGAACGGGUGAGUAAUGUAUCGGAACGUGCCCAGUAGCGGGGGAUAACUACGCGAAAGCGUAGCUAAUACCGCAUACUAUUGGAGCGGCCGAUAUCGGAGUAGAUAGUUGGGUGGGUAACGGCUCACCAAGGCGACGAUCCGUAGCUGGGUUGAGAGGACGACCAGCCACACUGGAACUGAGACACGGCCCAGACUCCUACGGGAGGCAGCAGUGGGGAAUUUUGGACAAUGGGGGAAACCCUGAUCCAGCCAUGCCGCGUGUGCGAUGAAGGCCUUCGGGUUGUAAAGCACUUUUGGCAGGAAAGCGGUACCUGCAGAAUAAGCACCGGCUAACUACGUGCCAGCAGCCGCGGUAAUUC